CCUGGGAAUGGUCAACAAACCUAAGUGAGUUGUUUGAAACCACUGCUUUCAGAGAAGCUUAUGUUUGAUGCCUUUUUGAGGCAUUUGACCUUUCUUGUCCACUUUAAUGAAGCCUAUGCUGGUGACAUGCAUGCGUUGCAAUUCAUGGAGGUGAACCCCCAGACUGACCAUGAGAAUGGCGAUCAGGGUCAAGUUGUCGAUACUGGUGUGGGAUUUUCUUUGAUGUACGCCUUCACACCACUCACACACACACACACACACCAUUACGGCUGUUAGUGGUCAUAUAGUUUUUGGCUGACCACAACCUGUUUUUCGGUGGGUUAGGGUUCAGUUAUAAUGCUACAUGUAAGAGUCAGAUGUGCCCCUAGGUUUGAAGAACAUAGAACCGCCACUGGACUACGAUGAGCUUCAACCUGUAGUUUGUUCGCCAAUCUACUGGGUGUUGUGAGCUUGUUUUGCUUAGAUAACUGUCAUUCACUGUAAUGUGCCUUGAGUUUUCCUACUCGUAAAAAUAGAAGUUUUCCUACCCAGUAGUGCAUCCCAAAGGGAUCUUGUGUGUAUAACUGUCUGCCUUGUACAUGCAACAUUUGGCUGACCCCAGGAAUGCAAAAAGAAAUGUAAAGAAAAUAUA